rnacentral:lncRNA from 1 species
GUGCAUUCUGUUAUCCCCCAAAUAAUUCUUUGGACCCUAACCAUGGUCAGGUUCUUAACCGGACUGAGUCUAGUCACUCUGCUACUACUCACCUGCACUCCCUCACCUCAACCGAACUCACAGAGAUUGGUCUGAAUGCCUAAUCUGGUAGGGUAUGGUGCCGGACUGGACUCACCUAGGGUCCAGACCCCAUAAGCCUUCAGAGUCCGAUUCAAGAAUCUUCUCCAAAUCAACUCCAAGUUCUUCACCAUGUGCAUGUGUGCCAACUCCAAGUAUCUCAACACAUGUGUACGUGAGUUAGCAACAUUUUCAAAGUAUUUUAAGGGUGUUAAGUUAGCACACUAGGUCCUAAUGCAUAUGCAUGAUCAACAACACCUAGUGGCACUUGAUAAUCAUUGUGACCAUGAUUUUCCCCUCUUCAUAGUACAACUAUCUAUGUUAAGUCCAAUCACACCCUCUAUGAUGUGUUUUGAUUAGUGAAACAAAAAUUUUAUUUAUACCUUUCUCUUAGUCUCCAUAGGUUUUUAUUUUUCUUUUUCUUUGUUUCUAAGUUGGAGCACUUGAUCUUCAAAUUUGUCCAUCUCCAUCACCAUGGACACCAUCAUCUAGCUCCAUCACUUAGGGUGUACCAACCUAUCUUACAUAACACUUAUGACAAAGGUUAGUACACUUAGAUUUUAUCAAUUAUCCAAAACCAAACUAGGGCUUUCAUAAGCCUUUUUUGUAUAACAAAAGGAUCCAAGGUGCGAGACAAAGGAGCCCUUGUUGUGUUGUCACACCCCGGGCAUGACUCUUUCCAAAGCAAGCAAGCGGAGUCUAGUUAAAGCAUGAAACAACCAACAACCCUGCUAAAGCUCACACUAUAGUGCUCAUCCUUAG